AGUUCAAAUAGAUUAGAUAGAGCUUGGAGAGUUUUAGAAUGAGAAACAUUACAUUUUUGUUUUAGUCAUUUGAGAGGAAGAGAGAGAAAACUAAUUCUUGGGUUCACCCCCUAGGAUGAACCUCUAGGUUCACUAAUCAAUAGGAUUGUGUUAUUUCAUAUUCGAUAUCUUUUAAAAAAAGAAACAAAAUAUUGUCAAAUUAUAUUAUCUUUUUAAAAUUAAAAGGUAAAAAAUAAAUAAAUAAAAAAUAGUAGUAAUUACAAAAAAAAAUAUUUUUAACGUCGUUAGCAAAACAUUAAACCCUAAAUCCUAAUCUCUAAACCCUAAAUCCUAAACUGUAGGAUAAAUCUUAAACUUUAGGAUAAAUCUUAAACUCUAAAUCAAAAUCACUUAACACUAAAACACUCAAGGGUUUAGGGUUUAGGAUUUAGGGUUUAGAGUUUUAGGGUUUAGUGUUUUUAUUUAGAGUUUAGGAUUUAUCCAAGUGUUUAGGGUUUACCCAAGGGUUUAGAGUUUACCCAAGGGUUUAGGGUUUAUCCAAGGGUUUAGGUUUACCCAAGGGUUUAGGGUUUAGGGAUU
rnacentral:lncRNA from 1 species